CAACUUGAGAGUUUGAUCC
rnacentral:rRNA from 1 species